CUUUGGAUGUCCGUUCCACUAUCACUCAAUUACGACAUGCCUCACACUUCCACCGACAGUGAUAUUCCUAAUUUCAUAGCUUCCGCCAAUAGAGACCUUUAUUAUUGGAGGUUUUGCGAGCAAGUCAAAACUUUCAGGGGCAUUCUGGUCAGGUACGAUAGGAGUUGUGCUAAAGAUGUUGAUUUAUGGGUACAUUUUGCAAUUAAACUUGCUAAUGUUGAAGAAUUACCACUUGGAUUUAGCUUGGGAAGUAACCAAAAAUAUGAGCUUCCUCAGUUUGCCUUUAAGAAUACAUCAUUGAAGAGUUUGAUUUUAAUGUACAUCGAAUUGAACCCUUAUGGUAGUUUUAACUGGAGUAGUCUAGUUUUUCUUUCAAUCGCAUCCCUGGAUAUGAAAGAUGGUAUGUUGGAAAAGGUAUUAUCUGGUUGCCCUAACUUGAAGCACUUGGAACUGGAUAGUGUUUUGGGCAUUAGUCGUCUGGAGGUCACCUCUGUGAAGCUGACAUAUUUGUGCAUAAAAGAUCACCAUAACGAGAAUGAUGACCUUUGUCUCGAAAUAUUUUCCCACCAUCUUAAAUAUUUCGAACUUUUGGGAUAUUGCGAUGAGAUAUGCUUGCAACAGAGAAAUGUGUCUUCACUUGUCAGUGCAAACCUAUUUUGGGAUUAUGAUGAUUUAGUCGAUGAAGAACGGAACCUGGAGGAGGAAUGUAGAUAUUUGAAGGAACUUCUUUAUAGUGUUGCCCAUGUCGAGAAUCUUGGAUUAGAUUGCUGGUUUAUUGAGUCCGAUAGUGCAAGUUGUUUUUAUGGAUUGCUCAUUAGCAUGCCACUAAUUAAAUAUGGAGUUGCAAGGCUGGCAGUUUCCACCAUCAAGCCGUAAAUUCUUAAAAAUAUACACAGCCUUAGAGCGAUUGGACUUCCCUGGAAUUUGCAGCUUUCUACAGAGCUCACCAGAUCUUGAGACAUUGACCAUUAACUGGUGCGAUCACAAAUCGAGAGGUUUGCUGUCAAGGCAUACAAACGAGGAUGAACAGAGCAGGAGGUUUGAGACACAUAAGUUUAACUGCUCAUUGCUACAUUUGAAGACCAUUAAGUUCAUUGACUUUCAUGAACCACUAAGUGGUUAUGAGUUUGUAUUUCCAUUUGUAAAAUAUCUGCUCAAGAAUGCAACAGUGCUAGAAGAAUUCGUAAUUGCUGCAGAAUUCGAAGGAAAUUAUGUGCCUUUGGAUUAUGUUCCAAAGCUUUCCAAGAUCCUCCUCACAUGCUUCAAUUGUCUUUUCUUAUUGAGAACUUUGGCACCUAUUGUUUUUAUUGAUAGCCACAUAUUUGAUAGAUGUUACUUUAUGUAUUAAACUAGUUUAUAGCUGAUAGACAAGGACUUGGAUAGUAUUUGUCAGUAUCUAAGGAGUUAGAGUUCUUUAUGUUUUAAGUAACAAUGUAUUCAUUCUCUAACCAUCAUGUAAGAAAGCUUGCUCUAUAUGUUUUGUGGUUUCUAUUCGUAUUGCUGAA